AAUGCGUAACUUACCUACGGCGAGUGAAGCGGUAAAAGCUCAAAUUUGAAAUCUGGUACUUUCAGUGCCCGAGUUGUAAUUUGUAGAAUUUGUCUUUGAUUAGGUCCUUGUCUAUGUUCCUUGGAACAGGACGUCAUAGAGGGUGAGAAUCCCGUUUGGCGAGGAUACCUUUUCUCUGUAAGACUUUUUCGAAGAGUCGAGUUGUUUGGGAAUGCAGCUCAAAGUGGGUGGUAAAUUCCAUCUAAAGCUAAAUAUUGGCGAGAGACCGAUAGCGAACAAGUACAGUGAUGGAAAGAUGAAAAGAACUUUGAAAAGAGAGUGAAAAAGUACGUGAAAUUGUUGAAAGGGAAGGGCAUUUGAUCAGACAUGGUGUUUUUUGCAUGCACUCGCCUCUCGUGGGCUUGGGCCUCUCAAAAAUUUCACUGGGCCAACAUCAAUUCUGGCAGCAGGAUAAAUCAUUAAGAAUGUAGCUACUUCGGUAGUGUUAUAGCUUUUUGGAAUACUGUUAGCCGGGAUUGAGGACUGCGCUUCGGCAAGGAUGUUGGCAUAAUGGUUAAAUGCCGCCCGUGACCCCCCCCCCCCCCCCCCC
rnacentral:rRNA from 1 species